CGUAGUAUAAAGCGCCAAGUUGGUCUUUGAACCCCAAAAAAGGAGUGUGGUUAUCGGAGUUUGGGCUGUCGUUACUGUCGUUUGUUCUUGUAACAGCAAACCGAAAACAACUGAGACAGUUACAUCGCUCCCAAAUGAGGUAGAUAGUAGUAGUAGCACUGCCACCAAGGUGCUGUGCACGUUGCCUAGCGACGUGUCUGUCUGCUGCCGUGGGCAUUAGCAGUUAGCAUCCACACUUGAGAGUACAAUAAUUAAGCUAUGGCGGAGGUUAAGCGUUAGACUGAAGUCUACUGAAGAAGAGUGUGAUUUCUAGCAACCAAACACUAGACUUAAAAUACUGUUCGGCGUAAUGCCACGCUGCUUUGACUGGUUAUCCUGAGGCGACCUGAUGCGCGAGCUUGGACUCCACCGUGAACUCGCCGCUCCAGAGUGCACCUGAGCGACCCUUUUCCAUUGGCAGCUGGCAGGCAGAUAGCCGGCACACCCACUGGCCUCAGGAUCACCUUCUUAUCUGCUUCACUAGACAAAAUAGCCCUCACGCUGUGAACUAGCAGACGAGACUUGGGUUACACUCGUCAGUCAGAUGGCGUUCUGCCUGGCUGAACUGCACUUGUGGUCCACCAAGAGAUCACUCCAAGUCAAAGAUACAGAUAUUGGCACCCAUCAGGUCUACGAUAAAGCUGAGCCAGCCCACCCCCUGGAGCACCACUACUACCAUGAGAAGCUCCAGUUCUGUGAAGCUCGAGGGAUUUGGUGGACCCCAAGUAACAGCAGACCAGACAAGCUACGUGAUUCGCUGAAGGAUUUGGAGGAACUGCUGCAGACCACCACUUGCGUCAGCAGCAGAUGGAGAACCAAGCAAUGCUGCCAGCUGAUGCUGAGCAACGGGGUGCUGGUCACUUUGACCUUAAAUGGACCUCAACUGGAGCACAUAUGUACCGACCGGACGCUAGUGGGUCGCCUUCCAGCCAGCACUAUCGCAGAAGCCGUGCUGCGAGAGCAUCUGAUUCUUCUGUCCUUCAAAAAACACAGCCAAGUGGCUGCAGUCUACCUCAGCAGAAGGAACCAGGACUCCCCUGAAGCUGGCAGAAGAACAGAGAAGCUGUCCCAAUCUGAGAUCCAGGUGUCAUGCGUGGACAUGACCAAGAGUGGGCUUCACCAACAUCUGGCUCUGAACUGUCUUCACGAUAUGGCUGUCUGCUGGUGGAACUGGGAAGACCCUGGAGGAGAGACGUGGCCCUGGAGUGCCACAGACAAGGAGAGGGACAACCUGGUUCUUCUGAGCUGCUCCCACGACAAGAACCUAAAGACCCUGAACUCUUUGUUUACUGAGGACAAGCUUCUGGACUGUUGCUUCAGUUCGGUGCAUCCCUACCAGCUGCUGACUGUGGAGAUACCGGCGGGACCCCAAGGUUCGAGAGCAGGAUCUUGGGCUCGUGCCUGUGUGUAUGAAUGUGCCAGAGGUCGCCUCCAUCGCUCGUCCGUCACACGCAUCGCUCUGCAGUCCGAGCCCGUAUGCUGCUCACGCCACCCAUCGGAAACCAUGCUCCUCUUCGGAUUAAGCGAUUCCUCUCUGGUUCUUCAUGACCAGCGAUGGGGUGUCUCUAGGCAAGCGUCGUGCUCUGUCCCGGCGGCCGAGCUCGCGUGGCAUCCCGCUGGGGCCGUAGUCAUGGUCGCUGGAGGACAAGGUACACUGAUGUGCUUUGAUGUGGGCUUGGCACCUGUACACAUGGCACUGGCGUCGGAGGAGCCUUCUUCAAGUCGUACACUAACACUGGCUCAGCACCUGCACUCUACGGGGGGCCUGAAGAGCCUGCAGUGGGCCGCAGGCCUGGAGGGAGGCCCAGAGAACACAGACAUGCUGCUGCUGUCGUACCACGGUGGACCGUUGGCAGCCCUAAAGUUUAAACUGGGGGCUCUGACUGGCGGCCGCAUGGGUCACGGCGAGUUCCUGCAGCAGCGCUUGCGUUGCGGUCAGGUCCGAGAGGCUGUCCACAUCCUGGAGGCCAUGAACUGGGCCACCAUGGAGGAUGAGUGUUUCAGAGGUCUGAGCUCUGUCGUCAACUUCCUGCUGAGGCUGCCGCUGAACGCAGAGAGAGAGGCUCUUCUGGAAGCAGCUCUGGGUGUGUUUUACGCUCCGGCUGCUCCUCUCACUGACACGGUCACACUGGAGUACAGGGAGCCAGUCAGCAAGUACGCUCGCCGCUUCUUCCAUCAUCUGCUCAGACAUCAGCGGUUUGAGAAGGCCUUCCUUCUUGCCCUGGAUUUAGAGCGCAGCGACCUUUUCAUGGACCUCCAUUAUGUGGCACGCGAUAAGGGCGAGGAGGUGCUCGCCGACGUGGCCAAGAGGAAGGCGAAGGAGAUGGAGGCCCGGGUCACCGCGGCAGACGGCUCCAGUCAUGUUUGCGAUUCCAGAAAUCAAGGGCAAUCAUCGGGGAGUGUGCCAAGUGACCCAGGUCCUUCGUACACAAGCGCACGUGUUGGUGGUAGAACCAAUCGGAUCCUGCGCCGGCCCGAUGACAUCACUGUGACUGUGAACCCAGAAGUCUUCAGGACGUUGAUUCAAGCCGAUCAGAACAGCAGCGACCCAGCGCGUGAGCGUGUAGCCCCUCGCAGGCCUGGUGUGUGCCGUCACGUCAUCUCUUCUCUUCCUGCAGGAGGCGCCAAUGGAGACGCGGGCGACAGGAAUGUGAGUUAAUCAACAGGAAAACUGAUGUUUAUUCUUACUGGAGUCGACUGGCUGUGGUUGACGCUGUGAAUUGUAAACGUUGCUCGGAGACACAAGAUCGGCCUUGUUCCCAACACAAAACCUGUCCACCCACACCUGGAUUCUGAACUCCAGUAUUCCAACAGUCUUGUGAGGUGGACUGCCUCCGGUGGCCGGGACGAAGGUUUCUUCCUGCUCGAAAACACGUCAACAAAACAGAAGAACAAAAAGGAAAAAAACAUUAUAAUGUGGUUAUUACAUGAAAUUUAGGAUUAUUAUUUUUAAUUAAUUAUUAAACAGCCUGUGGGCUACUCCCUUGGUCUUGUGCCCGUGGGCACCAUGUUGGUGACCCCUGGCGUCUGUCACGUGAACACAGCCUCCUGAUUGGUCCGUUUCUACAGGGGUUGGACAAAAUAAUGGAAACGCCUUUUUUUUAGCUUUUUAGCUCAGCUCAUCUUUUUUCUCUUGUCCUCUGGUAAGAACGGUGGACCACAAGGCUCCGGUGUACACCUGCUCUGUGGUCUGUUCAUAUGAUUCCCCUGGAGGUUCAUUCCCACCAAACCACCUGUGAUGAGGAGCUGCUGACUUCCAGCCACGACGAUGAGGAUCUGGGCGCUCUGAGUGUGGUGCAUCUCGGAAGCGUCUGAUAUCUGCGAGAGUUGAGCCCCGUCGGUGACAGCGGGGGGGCGUCGGCCUGACGCGGCAUUCUGAGGACCCAUCUGAUGUGGAGACAGGGGAGUGUUUUCCUGCCGCCGCAUCCAAGUCAUUUGUGUCAGGAUGGUUUCACUCCCUGUCGUGUUCACCUGGAACUGAAAGAAGAGCCAGUGUUUAGCGCCGCCGAGUACAUGACAGCAGAUGUCAUUAAUCAGCCAGGAAGAAAUACAAGCAAGUUCCAUUAUGCUUCCAUCACGGCUGAUACGCCGCUCCUGACUGAGAGUGUGUGUUGGCCCAGAUUACCAGCCGCAGUUUUAUUCAUGAACAGGAGCCAGCCAGCGACUUUAAAGCGUCGCGCGGAGCCUCUUUCCUGAACAGCAGCCACAGCCAUGUCAGAGCUGUCGACGCCGCGCUCGCCGGCUAAUCUGACAGCGCCGCGCGAGCGCUAAUCCCUCACUGUAUCGUAAUCUAUUUACUUUGCAUUUUAAGAGGAUUUCCACCAAAAAAUAUACAAGAAGCGAUGUUGGAAAUGGACAGAAGAUCAGCGAGAAUGCUUUUCUGCUUUUUUUGUUUGUUUUGUUGGGGAAAAAAAAGAGAAAGAAAUCAUUGUCUGUUUUUCGGGGAGUCAAUCCGCUGCGAGAGCGACGGGUGAAAGGAAUUACAUUUGUGACUGAUACUAAUACUUCUCUUAUGUAAACAUCAAACUGUUGUAUUUCCUCUCUGAUGAUACAGUCGCGGUGCAGAGGCUGCGGGGAGAUAAGUGGCGUCUGUCGCUGCCUCUUGACACGUUCAUCAUUUACAAGCCACCGCUGCAUUAUCUGGCCUUUGUUUGCCGUGACAGCUGGAAGAAAAGAUGCAGAAUAGCUGCACAGCCGCGGCCAUGGCCGCCGCCGCCUCGUUCAUAGCAGCAGAGACUCCGACCCAGACCCCAGCUCUCUGUCAGCCAUUCCGGCGCCGCUGUGAAGUCAGACGUGGCUGCGCUCGCUCAGAAACGCUGCCAGCAGGUUCAUCCACGGCAUCUCUGAUGACUGGCAGAGAUUUGCUCAUUAGCGGCAUUAGCAUGCAGCGCGGCGGCAGCGGCGGCCUUGUUGGCCAUGCAGCCUCUCGGCUCUUCUUCAGGUGGUCUGGGUCGCUCGCUUUCAGCAGCUGCACCUGCCUCCAACAACUCCACUUAUUAGAGCCAUUGUUGUGCUGUUCCUUUCAAAAAUACAAAGAAAGAAAGAAAUGCACAUUUGUUUGGACUAUUUUGGUUUUGUUUUUUUUUGUGUGCUUUUUUUGGAUUUUUCUUUAUUUUGUUUUAUUUUUUUAUUUUGGAUCAUUAUUGUGACCAUUAGUUCCUUUUUUCACUUUAGAUUGGUAAGGUCAUUUCAUACAAAGAGAAAAACACCCACCCGUUAUGUUUUCAUGUUUUGUGGGAACAUUUCACAAUCGGAAUCAAAUUUAUUGCCGUGGUCAGUGGGGAUCCCACCAACGAGGAAAGUGCUUUGGAAUAAAGUGCUGACAAAAAAUAAAUAAUAAUAAACAAAUUCAGCAGUCCAUUUGACAUUUGACUUUCACCCUUUCCCCAGCCUCUCCCCCUAAACCCAACCAAAACACAUGGCUGGACUCGGGACUCUGAACCAAACUGAAACCCAGUUAUAAUCACCCAGUUAUUUGGACCUGUUCACCAUCAAAACUCUGUGUGGACCGGCCAAAAUGUCCCCAUAAGAUCAAAAAUUGGUCCUGACAAGAACAUUGACACACGACACACACAGAAUCAGAAUCAGCUUUAUUGCCAAUGUCAGUGAGGAUCCCACCGACUAGGAAAGUGCUUUGGUACAUGUGCAAUGAUGAACAGAAUGAACGAAUAAUAAUAGGAAUAAUAAUAAAUAAAUUUAAAAAAAACAAUAUCAUAGCAGUAAUUAAGUCAUAAAUAAACAAAAAGGGCUGUUCUUGAUCAGUCUGGAGGCCGAGGCUUAACCUUGUGGGGACCGGCCAGAGGGCCACACUGAUAGCCCCAAACAGCAAAAGAAGGAGGUGUUUCCAAGAGCACACACACACACACACACACACACACACACACACACACACACUCCCAACCUCCACCCACCCCGGUCUUAAUGAAAUCAAAAUGUCAUGAAAACAUGGAGUUGGGGAGGAGUCACCGACUACUCUCAGUCUGGCAAAGACCUGUGAAGCUUGAAGAUGUCAUGAAAAGCGUUGAUCCUCUCACCGUGUCAUUUAUUUUCUCCUGUUUGAGAAAGAAACCCGCCCGUCCUCACGUCUGUGGCGUCAGGUAUUGACCUUGGCAAAGUUGCCCUCUGCGUCCCACACUGAGGAAGAUGGCAGCCUUCAGCGUCGCAUGAGAGAAUGAGACGCUUAAGACGGUGCUCAUUCAUUCUACGCCUGGUGACGUGUCAGAUUGCUGUUUAAAGCCCAUUAAACAGCUGUAUGUACAGUACUGUUCAGUACGAAGGGGGAGGAGUCAGGAAAAGAGGCCACAAAGAGCAACUGACAACCAACAUCCAUAUUUAUUUUUCCACUUUUUUGAGUGCAAAUCUGCAGUUCGUCUUCAUGUUUUUCCUCAUGGAAGGAGCGAGUGACUAAAGGAGGAAGCAUCUGGUUCCCACAGACCACCAACCCUGGCGACCUCAGGCUCCUCCGAGUCGUCACCUGCGGCCACUGACAAGUCCAGACUCAGGUCUGCCAAGAGUCUUCCUGGUGAGAUAACAGCAAAGGCUCUUCAGAUCUGCAGCAGCUUCCUCGGCCCUGAGUGGACAGCAGAGAGCCGCGGUCAUCUGAGGUCAACGUGGAAGCCUUGUCUGAUGAAAGCAGGAAGUCCUGACUGAUCUGGGGUGAGUUUGGACCCGGGGACGCUGUGGGGUGGAGGGGAGGAGGAGGGAGACCUGAGGAGCCUCUGAACACUUGUCCAUUAAAACUUUGGUUCGCUUGCUUCCUGACUGGAUCUGAGAUGAAGAACUGAUGGAGAAUGAUGGAUGGAUGAUUUAGAGGUGGACGAACAUGAAAGUUGCUAAUGUUAGCAUCUUGCUAACCAUCGUAGAAACGUCCACUUUCUCUUUCUGACCAAGCUUCUCUGUGACCUGCUGCAUCAACCGAGGAUGGAGGAGGUGUGAGGGAGCUGCUGUGACUGGGCUACAUGAUGUUCACAGAGGAGGUUCAGUGGAGACCCGAUGGUCCUUGGACUUGAGUCACGUGACGAUCAUGAUACUUGAUCAGAGGCUGACGUCGCAGAGAGGGACGCUGCAGUGCAUUAUGGGUUGCCAGGUCAGCACGGUUGCCAGCUCUCUGUGCAGCCACAGUUUGAUCCUGGGUUAAACCUGCUGCUCUUGACUCGGUCCCUCCACUGCUGCUCAGUCAGCGCUGACGGAGUCCAUAAAUCACACCCUCUGCUGCUGAUGUUUCUGGGUUUCCUCAAGCUGUUUUGGGGUUCAUUAUUGCUGGUGCACUUUCAUGUGUUUGUUCUCAUGUCGGGGACCUGUGAGUGGUGCACGAGGAGUGGGGAGCCGAAGCUCCGCCAUCUUCUCCUCAGAGAGUAUGGAGAGACAAACGUGCCACACCGGAGCCUCGAGCCGAACGCUGGAGCCUGCAGUGGAGAAGUACCAUCAGUUGCAGACAGGUGUUGCCGCGCGCGUGGGAGGGCUCCGUCGCUUGAAGGCAGUUUCAGCAGUGGGACCAAACUUUGGCAUCUGACUGGAGCCAACAAAACGUCAGUGUUGGGAGUGAGAUGUUGCACUGGUUCUGCCGCUGCUCGGUUUCAGGAGGUGAUGACGAUGAUGAUGUGGGAGAUGAAGGUUUGUAAAACACACUUCUGUGCCGUGACAAACGUGUGUGAGCUGAAGUGCAGGGGAGUCUUUGUGAGGACGUAGUGACUUGACUCACACGACUGGCCAAUAUGCUCCAGAAGAGUCAGGCGUCAACCUCCAGCACUGGACCGUGUUUAAACUGAGGCUCUUCUGAGAGCCUCUUGACUUUGACCCCACUGGUCCGCACUGAAGGAAAUUCAGCAUUAGCUUUGGCAUCUCUGUGGCCUAACACCGUGGCGCUCCUUCACCACGACUCAGAACCAGCGAACACACGCCUUCCAUCAAAGUUUCUCGGGAGGUUUCCGGACCAGUCCUGGGCCUUGGGACUCGCUGGAAAGCUUGAACCCUGCUGUGUCUGGGGGUCACCUGAUCAACACACCUGUGGAUCUUUCAGUGAGUUCUGAAGUGAAUUCUGCGGCUCGGGCCGGGUUUGGCCCGCGGACCUGGGGUUCUAAACACUUGUCCUAGUGGGAUGCAUGGUUGUUGCACCACGUGGUAAAUCCAUGCAAUAACUGAACAGGUGAUGGUGGCGGGAGUCGCUUUUUUAUUACGUAUGGAAGCGCUGUUGGCCCCGAGGUUCCAGACACAUCCUGCUGUUCAGUCCACUUUUAUCUAUUCAUUCACUAGAAUGUCUUAAUAAAUAAAUGGUAAACAUAAAUAAAUACAGUCAAUGAAGAGCAUUUUCACGGGUUGGAAUUGUUUUCGGCAGAGUGCGUUCAUAUAGAGCAAACUAGUUAUUUGUUUUAUUUUGAGAAUAACUCUGGCUCAUGUAUUACAGAGGGGGGAAUAACUCUGCUUUUUUAAAACCGUUGUUAUCUCACACUUGUUUAUGAAGUUUAUUUCAUGUUGUCACAAUGAACCAAAGAUGACCGCGUUGUUGUUGUUGUUGUUAUUGAUGGUUCAGACGAGGCCAACUCUCCAGCUGGCAUCACGUGUCCGCGCCACGCUUGGCCUCGUGCUGACCUCUCAGGUGAGCGCCUCAGACGCGCGCCGGGACGCCGCUCUGGCGACAGUCGGCAGCCAAUCCCAGGCCACAGCCGCUUCUCCUCCUCCGGUGCCGCAUGCAGGCGGCGCCUAUCAGCGCAUCUCAGGCCGCGCGUGAGCGGCGGUGGCAGCCGGGCUCGGGAGGAUCCGUCGCCGCUCUUUAUCUGGCCUCGAUACACAUCAGGCCCCGCGCAGACGCGGUUCCGGUUGACUUCCGGGACAAGUGCAGAGAACAUGUCAACAGGUGUGUGUGUGUGUGUCUGAACAGGUCAAGUUCAUCGAUCCUGCGCUCAGGACCUUUGUGUCGGAGGGAGGGCGGUUUUAAACUCAGGGAACAUGGCCUUUUCUGCGCUUGAACUGUCAGAUUGAAACGUUACUUUACAGCGCACGAGCUUGAUAAAACGGUCAAAUUCAAUUCAGUUUAAAAAAGAAUUACAGAAAUGAUCUUGACAAGCAGCAAAAUCUUAUUUAAGGGCAAAUGGAGCGGUCGGUUUUGAUUAUUAUUGUUUUUUAAAUAUUCCAAAUAUAUAAAAAAGGUCAAUACUAAAUACAUUUACAGCACAUUCUAUAUUUAUCCUUCCUGUUUUGAACAUGUGGGUAAAAUAAAAACUUAAGAAUUAAAAAAAACAAAAAAACUUUUUUUUCUCUUGCCCAUAUUUUUCGACUGGAAGUGAAAUGACGGACUUUCGAUCGAGCGCCACUUUAACAACGGAUUGGCGCGCAGGGACUGACGUGACGUGACGAGCGGAGCACGUGUUGCUUGUUUAUUUCACCCUCUUUUGCGAUGCUUCCAGCCGCAGAACCGAACCGUUCUACUGCAGCUCUGCGUUGCAACGGCGUCGAUGUUUAUCCAGCUUUGUGUUUCGGGGGCGAUGGAUAUUCAAAUCUUGAAAGCGACGGUUUGAUUUCCUAAUUAUAAAGGUCAAUAUUUAAAGCCGAAUAACCCGUUUGAGCGUGUCUCCACAGCGGCCGCAGAGGCUUUUAUUUAUUUCAGUUUCAUUCAUUGACGGUUUUUGCGAAGGCGUUCGGCAGAUCAUCGGGCGCGGACUCAGAGAAGUCACGACUUUAACGAACGCGCUUUCGCCGCGGCCUCCGCGUGCCCCCCUCCUCGCCCCCUCCUCCUUUAACGUUUCGCCUGCAGCCUCCGACACGUGACUCCUGACCCGCCCCCCAUCUCCCCUGAUUCCUGUGGUUAUUUUUCACGAGGAAAGGCGCCGUUACUGUCGCUCCGAUCAUCCAAGUUUGGAUUUCUGUAGCGCAGUGUUGGUGCCUCGAAGCUGUUUCAUUUCGCACGAGUCAAAACAUUUCUUGAGCGACACAAACGGAUUAUUAUUAUUGUUAUGAUGAUUUUAUCUCCACGAUCUUUGCCGUUGACUGAUCACUGUGAACAGCGGUUGACUUACAGACCAAGUGACGAGUGUGUGGGAGGAGACGCAAAACGCGCUGGUUAACGUCCCACCGUCAAAUUUGUCCGGGAAACACUUCCAAGUCACGUUUCUUUUCUCAUUUUCCCGCCUCCGUCAGUCGCCGCUGAAGUGGCGACACUUGUUUCUGCGCUACUUUGGAGUCCAGCAGCGUCACGAGGUUCGACGGAGACACAACUGAACCAAAGAAACGUCUGACCGUGAACGCGCCAGAAUCACAUCAACACAACUGCCGUUUAAAAUAUAGACACAUUUUUCAUUUAAACUCUGACACCAAGUUGAACUGCAGCUCCUGAACGCACCAUCAAUAUUACGGCUUUUACGGCCCCCAAAGAAAUAUUUUUUUUUCUUAAUUUUUGCGAAUUAUCGGCGCAGCGGAGCUCAGAGAACGUGAGGGAAUAUCUCUCGAUAUGCCUUUCUGACAUGGCUCACUCAGGAAGCCGAGCACCUGAACGCACCACCAAUGAAUCCGACACAGCGUUUGUUACGGUGGAAGGCUACAUGACGAGCACCUGAACGCACCGUCGCUAACCGUGUGAUGCGGUUCACACGCAGGAGGCGCAGUGGUUUCCGAGGCGCGCCUGAACGCACCAGCAAUUGACAAUAAACAAGCUCGUGGAAUCCAAGAGAGUAAAUAUGACUGAACGGAUCUUUAUUGGAUGACAAGUAUGUAAAGGUGGUUCGCCUCCAAGAUACAUUCAACAUCUCACUGGCAUUUUUGGAACGUGACUUUUUGCACACUUCCUCUCCCCGAACAAUGAUCAAAGCGGUUUUGGACUGGGAGAUGGAGUCAAGUGCUUCGACGGUCCCGCGAGGAGGCUCCAGGGUCGCAAGAGCCAUGUUUCAACAGUUGAGUUGAGUUCGCCAAAACAUUUUGAAACAAGGUAUAUAAAGCUGAAGGUUAUGGCCAAUUUCUCUCUUUGGAAUAUUUGAAAAGAUUUACAUACAAGUUUUUUUUUUCCUUUUUCUCCCUCCCACAGUGGUAAUAAACAGAAAAGAACACCAACUAAUCAUGGUCACUGUAACUGACCCAAAUACAUAUUUACAUAUUUCAGCUCCUGGUCGCAGCUGACUAAAAAUCUCUGUCCUAAAAUAACAAAUUUCGGAAAUAAAAACUGUACAGGGUGUGAUUGGAGGUCAGAGGGGCACGGGCUGCGGGGCGUAUUCCUCCCGUCGUCCGGAGAAGUUGGAAAAAGUUUAUCCAGCAGAAAAAGGUCUCCUCAGAAACAGGAUCUUGUUCUCCUCUGCUCCGUAAUCUCUCUUUUGUCUGAAAGAGACGGCGCUGAUCUGGGCGCAGAAAAGAGCCAGCAGCAGCAGCAGCAGACGAUCACAAGACCUGGAACCUCCAGGAGGCCUGGUCUUUGUAGUCCAAGCAGUCCGUGGCGUUGAAGUUGAGCUUCCACGAGGAGGCCGCCGUCUGCUCUUUGUAAUCCAGGCAGUCGGAGGAGUUGAAGGCCAGGCCGGAG